rnacentral:SRP_RNA from 1 species
CCGUGCAGCCGGGGAGUUAGCGGUGUCCUGUACCUGCAAUCCGCUACAGCAGGGGUGAUGUUUUGCCGAGGGCUUGUUUCUGUGGAGCUGCCCUAUAUAAGUGGCGUUGACGUUUGGGUCUUACGCAACAGGAAUCCAUGAACCGUGUCAGGUCAGGAAUGAAGCAGCACUAAGUGGAAGCUCUUGUGUGCCGUAAGGGUGCCUGAGCCGAGUUAACUGUAUAGGUAACGUUCAUUGGGCAAGUUCGAAGCAAGACGCACGG